GGACAGGUGGCCGAGUGGCUGAAGGCGCACGCUUGGAAAGCGUGUAGACCGGAAACGGUCUCCAGAGUUCGAAUCUCUGUCUGUCCGCCA
rnacentral:tRNA from 1 species